CGGUGGAGCAUGUGGUUUAAUUCGAUGAUACGCGAGGAACCUUACCUGGGCUCAAAUGUAUGUUGACGUAUUCUGAAAGGGAUACUUCUUCGGACAAUAUACAAGGUGCUGCAUGGUUGUCGUCAGCUCGUGCCGUGAGGUGUCGGGUUAAGUCCCAUAACGAGCGCAACCCCUAUCAUUAGUUGCCAUCAGGUCAAGCUGGGGACUCUAAUGAAACUGCCUACGCAAGUAGUGAGGAAGGUGGGGAUGACGUCAAAUCAGCACGGCCCUUACGUCCAGGGCUACACACGUGCUACAAUGGCCGAUACAGAGGGCAGCUACCUGGUGACAGGAUGCAAAUCUCCAAAGUCGGUCUCAGUUCGGAUCGGAGUCUGCAACCCGACUCCGUGAAGUUGGAUUCGCUAGUAAUCGCGCAUCAGCCAUGGCGCGGUGAAUACGUUCCCGGGCCUU
rnacentral:rRNA from 1 species